UUUUUGUUCCAUUUCACGGCUGAUCAUCCAUUUAGCAGGGGAGAGAAAAUUCUCAGGACUGUUCCCCCAUUAUGCAGGGCUGUUCAGAAGUGAGCAUGCGUAUUUUUCUACAGACAUGGUCGUACCUGGAUCUUACAUGAUCAGACCUGAGUGAAACAUGUUCAUGCCUGCCGCAGACAUGAUAACGCCUGACUGAAAACUUGACAAAUACAUAUUUAUUUAUACAUUACUUCGCGUAUCUUGACUAAUUGGUCUUUGUUGUUAAAAUUUCACUUUUUCAGAUUUUGUUCGAAAUGAGUUUAUCCAAAUUUACCUCCUCGAGCCAACCAUCUUCAAAUGAAGGAAAUUAUGUCGUCUCUACAUCCCAGAAAAGAGGACGUCAGGGUAGACAUUCGGCCUUCGAGGCUCUUGUGAAGAAGGGGGCCAAUUGUGUGGGGGCGGCCAAAGAUAGCUGGACAUGUUUGCACUACGCGGCUCAGAGGGGGGAUGAAGACAUCGCCAAAACAUUACUUUCCAAGAAACAGAGAAAAGUAUCCACACGCCCCGCUACCAACGACUCCCUGCUUGCAAUUAAAGAAAGAUGCAUCUACCCACUACUGUCAAUUUUCAACAAAAAACUUCACCGAUGUCAGAAAAAAUCUGAAAAAAAAACUAAAAAUUUGAAGUAAAGUGUCACAUUAUCAAGCUGAGUUUAUGAUGUUGUUACAAAUUAACCAUAUCUUUAAUAAUCUUAUAAUACUGAAGAUACCGAUUUGAGCAUAUUCGGUUCAGGCAUGGUCAUGUAUCCUGCA